rnacentral:rRNA from 1 species
GUGGGGAAUAUUGGACAAUGGGCGAAAGCCUGAUCCAGCCAUGCCGCGUGUGUGAAGAAGGUCUUCGGAUUGUAAAGCACUUUAAGUUGGGAGGAAGGGCAGUAAGCUAAUACCUUGCUGUUUUGACGUUACCGACAGAAUAAGCACCGGCUAACUCUGUGCCAGCAGCCGCGGUAAUACAGAGGGUGCAAGCGUUAAUCGGAAUUACUGGGCGUAAAGCGCGCGUAGGUGGUUCGUUAAGUUGGAUGUGAAAGCCCCGGGCUCAACCUGGGAACUGCAUCCAAAACUGGCGAGCUAGAGUACGGUAGAGGGUGGUGGAAUUUCCUGUGUAGCGGUGAAAUGCGUAGAUAUAGGAAGGAACACCAGUGGCGAAGGCGACCACCUGGACUGAUACUGACACUGAGGUGCGAAAGCGUGGGGAGCAAACAGGAUUAGAUACCCGAGUAGUCC